rnacentral:rRNA from 1 species
CCAAUUUUUUCAUGGGCUCAAGGACGAUCGCGGCGGGCGUGCUUAACCCACAAGGGUUGGGCGAUGAAGCCCAGCUUGCUGGGUGGAUUAGUGGCGAACGGGUGAGUAACACGUGAGUAACCUGCCCUUGACUUCGGGAUAACUCCGGGAAACCGGGGCUAAUACCGGAUAUGAGCUACCUUCGCAUGGGCGUUGCUGGAAAGUUUUUCGGUCAGGGAUGGGCUAGCGACCUAUCAGCUUGUUGGUGGGGUGAUGGCCUACCAAGGCGACGACGGGUAGCCGGCCUGAGAGGGCGACCGGCCAUUUUGGGAUUGAGACACGGCCCAGACUCCUACGGGAGGCAGCAGUGGGGAAUAUUGCACAAUGGGCGCAAGCCUGAUGCAGCGACGCCGCGUGAGGGAUGAAGGCCUUCGGGUUGUAAACCUCUUUCAGCAUGCGUGAAGCCCAAGUGACGGUACCUGCAGAAGAAGCGCCGGCUAACUACGUGCCAGCAGCCGCGGUAAUACGUAGGGCGCAAGCCUUCCUCGGAAUUAUUGGGCGUAAAGAGCUCGUAGGCGGUCUGUCGCGUCUGGUGUGAAAACUCGAGGCUCAACCUCGAGCUUGCAUCGGGUACGGGCAGACUAGAGUGCGGUAGGGGAGACUGGAAUUCCUGGUAUAGCGGUGGAAUGCGCAGAUAUCAGGAGGAACACCGAUGGCGAAGGCAGGUCUCUGGGCCGCAACUGACGCUGAGGAGCGAAAGCAUGGGGAGCGAACAGGAUUAGAUACCCUGGUAGUCCAUGCCGUAAACGUUGGGCACUAGGUGUGGGGCUC